GAAGUUUAAGAGCCGAAUGCUACUUAAACCAUCGCGAACUCGUCCAAGUUGCUUCGGCGGCGCGGCCUCCCUCACGGGGGCGCCGCAGCCCCGCCUCUCCGGAGGUGUGGGGCGCCCGCCGGAGGUACGAAACUCUGUAUUAUAGUGGCAUCUCUGAGUAAAAAACAAAUAAGUUAAAACUUUCAACAACGGAUCUCUUGGUUCUGGCAUCGAUGAAGAACGCAGCGAAAUGCGAUAAGUAAUGUGAAUUGCAGAAUUCAGUGAAUCAUCGAAUCUUUGAACGCACAUUGCGCCCGCUAGUACUCUAGCGGGCAUGCCUGUUCGAGCGUCAUUUCAACCCUCAAGCCCUGCUUGGUGUUGGGGCCCUACGGCUGCCGUAGGCCCUGAAAGGAAGUGGCGGGCUCGCUACAACUCCGAGCGUAGUAAUUCAUUAUCUCGCUAGGGACGUUGCGGCGCGCUCCUGCCGUUAAAGACCAUCUUUAACUCAAGGUUGACCUCGGAUCAGGUAGGAAUACCCGCUGAACUUAAGCAUAUCAAAAGGCGGGAGGGAA
rnacentral:rRNA from 1 species